UUCAACCGGCAUUGGAAGUAAAAGUCUUAACAAGGUUUCCGUAGGUGAACCUGCGGAAGGAUCAUUA
rnacentral:rRNA from 1 species